UACAGAGGGUGCGAGCGUUGUUCGGAAUACUGGGCGUAAAGCGCGCGCAGGCGGCCUUUUAAGUCUGACGGUGAAAUGCCGGGGCUCAACCCCGUGCCCGCCGCGGAUACUGGGAGGCUGGAGACGAGUAGAGGCAAGCGGAAUUCCGGGUGUAGCGGUGGAAUGCGCAGAUAUCAGGAAGAACACCGGUGGCGAAGGCGGCUCUCUGGGCCUUACCUGACGCUGAGGAGCGAAAGCGUGGGUAGCGAACAGG
rnacentral:rRNA from 1 species